UCGAGCGGACUUUAAAAGCUUGCUUUUAAAGUUAGCGGCGGACGGGUGAGUAACACGUGGGCAACCUGCCUGUAAGACUGGGAUAACUUCGGGAAACCGGAGCUAAUACCGGAUAAUUCUUUUCCUCACAUGGUGGAAAGCUGAAAGACGGCAUCUCGCUGUCACUUACAGAUGGGCCCGCGGCGCAUUAGCUAGUUGGUGAGGUAACGGCUCACCAAGGCAACGAUGCGUAGCCGACCUGAGAGGGUGAUCGGCCACACUGGGACUGAGACACGGCCCAGACUCCUACGGGAGGCAGCAGUAGGGAAUCUUCCGCAAUGGACGAAAGUCUGACGGAGCAACGCCGCGUGAGUGAUGAAGGUUUUCGGAUCGUAAAGCUCUGUUGUUAGGGAAGAACAAGUACAAGAGUAACUGCUUGUACCUUGACGGUACCUAACCAGAAAGCCACGGCUAACUACGUGCCAGCAGCCGCGGUAAUACGUAGGUGGCAAGCGUUGUCCGGAAUUAUUGGGCGUAAAGCGCGCGCAGGCGGUCCUUUAAGUCUGAUGUGAAAGCCCACGGCUCAACCGUGGAGGGUCAUUG
rnacentral:rRNA from 2 species